rnacentral:rRNA from 1 species
UACGGAGGGGGCUAGCGUUGUUCGGAAUUACUGGGCGUAAAGCGCACGUAGGCGGGUCGUUAAGUCAGGGGUGAAAUCCCGGAGCUCAACUCCGGAACUGCCUUUGAUACUGGCGACCUUGAGGCUGGAAGAGGUUAGUGGAAUUCCCAGUGUAGAGGUGAAAUUCGUAGAUAUUGGGAAGAACACCAGUGGCGAAGGCGGCUAACUGGUCCAGAUCUGACGCUGAGGUGCGAAAGCGUGGGGAGCAAACAGG